CAACAAAGAGUGAAACUCCAUCUCAAAAAAAAAAAAAAAAAGAAAUUAACUAGCUGGAUUUUAUUUAAAUAUUUUAUUAUGGAAGUUUCCAAAAAUAUCUGAAAGUAAAGUGAAUAAUAUCAUGAACCCCAUACACUCAUCUCCCAGCUUCAAGAAUUACCAAGUCAUAGCCGGUUUCGGUGCAUCUUCCACUGCCCGCCCCCACCCCACACAGGGUUAUUCUGAAACAAACACCAGCAUCAUUUAAUUUUAUUAUUGUAUUUCUUUUUUCUUUUCUUUUCUUUCUUUCUUUUUUUUUUUUUUUUUGAGAUGGAGUCUUGCUCUGUUGCUCAGGCUGGAGUGCAGUGGCGCAACCUUGGCUGACUGCAACCUCUGCCUUCUGAGUUCAAGCAAUUCUCUUGCCUCAACCUCCUGAGUAGCAGGGGCUACUGGCACACACCACCACACCCGGCUAAUUUUUGUAUUAUUGUAUUUCUUCUGAGAGAUAGGAUUUAAAAAAAAAACCUAUCCAUCAUGACACCUAAAAGUUAAUACAAAUUUCUUAAUAUCAUAAAAUAUCCAGUGCUCAAAUUUCCUCUAUUGUUAUUUAUUUAUUCUUUUCUUAAGCCCUUGGUUUGUUCAAAUCAGGAUGCAAACAAAGUCCAUACAUUGCAUUUGAUUGAUGUUUCUUAAGUCUUUCAGUCUGUAGCAACCCUACUCCUGCCCUUUUUUGUUUUUCUCCGCAAAUUAUCUGUUGAGGAAGUUGGGUCUUCUGUGCAGGAGGGUCUUCUGUAAUUCUGGAUUUUACUGAGUGCACCCCAUAAUGCAAUGUGUUCCUUAGUCCCCUCAAGUUCCUGUAAAAUGGUGGUUAGGUUUAUACUUCAUCAGAACCACCUUUGAUUUUUUGCUGACAAUCUUUCAUAGACGGUGCUAUGAAAUCCUCUUAUAUCAUAUCAGGCAGCACAUAAUAUCUGCUUGUCUUUCUGUGUGUAAUAUCAAGAUGGAUGGAUGGAUUCAGAUGUUGUCAGCCUAGUCCAUCCAUUAUAAACUCCCCAUCAGCUCUUCAACUCAUGGUUUUAGCAGACAUUGAUGAUUAUUGUUGCACCCAUUAUUUUUUUAAUCACAAAAGUCAUACAUGUAGGCUGAGAAUGGUGGCUCACGCCUGUAAUCCCAGCACUUUGAGAGGCUGAGAUGGGUGGAUCACUUGAGGCCAGGAGUUCGAGACCAGCCUGGUCAACAUGGUGAAACUCCAUCUCUACUAAAACUACAAAAAUUAGCUGGGUGUGGUGGCACACGCCUGUAAUCCCAGCUACUCGAGAGGCUGAGGCAUAAGAAUCUCUUGAACCUGCGAGGCAGAGGCUGCAGUGAGCCAAGACUGUGCCAUUGCACUCCAGCCUGGGUGACACAGCAAGCGUCUGUCUCAAAAAAAAAAAAAAAAGUCAUACAUGUAAAAUUGUAAAAAAAAAAAACCCAAAUAUCCAUCCAAAGGAGACUGAAAAGAUAAAAGCAGUAAUUAUAUCACACUGUAUUUAUACAUCAGGCAAUAUAGCAGUCAGAAUUUAAAAUCUAAAUAUAUCAUUUGGGGAGGCAUACAUAUGUGUUAAAAGUAAAAAAUAUGUAUAGGAAUGAUAAACUCCAAAUGUAAGGUAUUGUUUACUUCUUUUUGUAUGGGAGAAUGAGGAAUAGGACUGGGUUUCAAUUAUAUAUAUGAUUCAAUCAUAUAUAUAUAUAUAUAUAUAUAUAUAUAUAUAUAUAUAUAUAUACACACACACACACACACACACAUUUUGUUUAUUAACAGAGGUCUGUCUGAACUAUUUAUUGCAAAAUGUUAAGAUUUGUCAAAGCCAGAAGGUGUUAACUUUAUCUCUGUAGUUUCUUUGUAAGUUUAAAAUAUAAUUUUUUAAAAAAGGACUUGACAUAUAAACAUGGAAAAUAUUGCCAACUCAAAAGGAUGCAUAAUAAAAAAUAUAUUCUGUUCAUUUCAGACCCAUGGUUCUCCUCCUCGGAGACACUGAUUAUUACCCAUUUCAUAUGCAUCUUUCAGGAAUUGUCUAUGUAAAUGAAAGACUUAAUAUCCAAAAGAGCUGCUCCUUUCAGAAAAACCACUUUAAAACAUUUUUCAUUUUUCGGGACUUGCUCUAUUGCCUAGGUGCAGUGAUACAAUCAUAGCUCACUGCAGCCUCAAACUCCUGGGCUCGAGCAAUCCUCCCACCUCACCCUCCUGCAUAUUUGGGACUACAGGUACAUACCAUGCCCAGCUAAUUCAGAAAAACCAUGAGCCAUCUUUACACACAUGGACAUCUGACUGCACCCACCCAUGUGGGAGGCAGCCUAUAGACUGAGGCCUUCCAUCUGGAGAGUCCACUUUGUGAGCUUUUAUUUUGGAGACUCCCUGGAAACCAGUCUUUGUUUUCCCUGUCAACGGACCUGAAGCUAUCUGGUUAGUCUUUUCUUUUUUUUCUUUUUUCUUUUCUUUUCUUUUCUUGUUUGAGAUGGAGUCUUGCUGUCACUCAGGCUGGAGUGCAGUGGUGCGAUCUCGGCUCACUGCAACCUCUACCUCCUGGGUUCAAGUCUCCCAAAUAGCUGGGAUUACGGGUGCCUGCCACCAUGCUUGGCUAAUUUUUU
rnacentral:lncRNA from 1 species